AUAUGACAAAGUUUGGAGCAAUGAUGUGUGCAAAUGUAAUUUCUAAACUGCUUGUUACCAAGAGGUGGCGCUAUGACUUUUUCUAAAUUUUUCAGUGUGGAUGUCCUCAAACUGGUUCUGGUGUCCAGCACAUGAAGUUUGGGGCAGAUAGGAUCCUUUGCAGCUGAGAUAUGAACACUUCAAUUUUCAUGGCGAAACAUCAAACUUUGCCGUCCCGCCACAGACACGCCUUUUCAUCACACGUCACCAUUUUUUCUGUGCUUCAUCAUCAAUGUGUUCAGGCUUAUGUCACAACAUCUGAGGUGAAUCUGAGCAACAGGCUAAGAAUAGUACAUGAAAGUCUAAAAAAUGUCAAAUUCUUGAUACCACAAGGUGGCGCUGUGACUGUGAAUGAAUCUUGCUGUAUGGAUGUCAUCGAGGCAGGUCUGUGAUCAUACAUGUAAAGUUUCAUUCAGAUCGGAGCAUGUUCAGGAGAGUUACACAGCAUUUCCUGUUUCAUGGCGAAGGAUCAAAUUUCGACAGGCCGCCACGACCACACCCUUUAACUAUGGAGGAAGAUUUUGAUAACUUUUUCUCAGGAAGGUCUGCUGAAUGUACUGGCAAAAUUUCAGAUCGCUCAGACUUUUCCCCGAGGAGGAGUUCAUCAUAGAUUUUGUACAGUUAACGCAUGAUGGCGCACUUCCUGUUGGGUGUAGAGCAUGGCUGUGAUUGACUUUUUUGUGUUUCCUGAUGUGCUGCAUAUGCCUCCCAAAUUUUUUAGCUCUCGGCCAAAUUCCCUCCGAGUUGGCCUAACACCACUUUUUAAAAUUUUGUAGGGGGCGCUAUGGAGCCAUUUUGCCACACACCUCCACAUGCCCUAAAAAAUAUGAAAUUUUUCGCCAGUUCUGAUGUGUGUGCAAAUUUUCAUGACUUUUCGAGCAUGUUCAGGCCCUGAAAAAUGCAGUUGUUU